rnacentral:tRNA from 1 species
GCCUGGAUAGCUCAGUUGGUUAGAGCGUGGUGCUGAGAACCAAGGUUGCAGGUUUGAUCCCCGUAUGGGACA